rnacentral:rRNA from 1 species
GACGAACGCUGGCGGCGUGCCUAAUACAUGCAAGUCGAGCGGACGGAUGGGAGCUUGCUCCCAGACCGUCAGCGGCGGACGGGUGAGUAACACGUGGGCAACCUGCCUGUAAGACUGGGAUAACUCCGGGAAACCGGGGCUAAUACCGGAUAACUCUUUCCCUCACAUGAGGGAAAGCUGAAAGAUGGCAUCUCGCUAUCACUUACAGAUGGGCCCGCGGCGCAUUAGCUAGUUGGUGAGGUAACGGCUCACCAAGGCGACGAUGCGUAGCCGACCUGAGAGGGUGAUCGGCCACACUGGGACUGAGACACGGCCCAGACUCCUACGGGCGGCAGCAGUAGGGAAUCUUCCGCAAUGGACGAAAGUCUGACGGAGCAACGCCGCGUGAGUGAUGAAGGUUUUCGGAUCGUAAAACUCUGUUGUCAGGGAAGAACAAGUACCGGAGUAACUGCCGGUACCUUGACGGUACCUGACCAGAAAGCCACGGCUAACUACGUG